GUGGCUGUAGCUCCAUGGUAGAGCGCUUGUCUAGCAUGCAUGAGGUCCUGCGUUCAUUCCGCAGCACCAUA
rnacentral:tRNA from 1 species